UACGUAGGGUGCAAGCGUUAAUCGGAAUUACUGGGCGUAAAGCGUGCGCAGGCGGUUUCGUAAGUCUGUCGUGAAAUCCCCGGGCUUAACCUGGGAAUGGCGAUGGAGACUGCGAGGCUAGAGUUUGGCAGAGGGGGGUAGAAUUCCACGUGUAGCAGUGAAAUGCGUAGAUAUGUGGAGGAACACCGAUGGCGAAGGCAGCCCCCUGGGUUAACACUGACGCUCAGGCACGAAAGCGUGGGGAGCAAACAGG
rnacentral:rRNA from 1 species